rnacentral:rRNA from 1 species
AAGCUCGUAGUUGAAUUUCGGGAUUAGUACGUUGGUCGUGCCUUAGGUACGUACUGGUGUUACUGGUUCCUACCUUCUGACGAACCAUCAUGUCAUUAAUUUGGUGUGGUGGGGAAUCAGGACUGUUACUUUGAAAAAAUUAGAGUGUUUAAAGCAGGCUCGCGCUUGAAUACAUUAGCAUGGGAUAAUGAAAUAGGACGUUGAUCCUACUUUGUUGGUUUCUAGGAUUGACGUAAUGAUUAAUAGGGAUAGUUGGG